rnacentral:pre_miRNA from 1 species
CACAUACUCCCUCCGUCCGGAAAUACUUGUCAUUAUAGAUACAUCCCCUUUUAUCCAUUUUGAUGACAAGUGUUUCUGGACGGAGGGAGUAUUAG